rnacentral:rRNA from 1 species
GAUGAACGCUGGCGGCGUGCCUAAUACAUGCAAGUCGAGCGAACAGACGAGGAGCUUGCUCCUCUGACGUUAGCGGCGGACGGGUGAGUAACACGUGGAUAACCUACCUAUAAGACUGGGAUAACUUCGGGAAACCGGAGCUAAUACCGGAUAAUAUAUUGAACCGCAUGGUUCAAUAGUGAAAGACGGUUUUGCUGUCACUUAUAGAUGGAUCCGCGCCGCAUUAGCUAGUUGGUAAGGUAACGGCUUACCAAGGCAACGAUGCGUAGCCGACCUGAGAGGGGGAUCGGCCACAAUGGAACUGAGACACGGUCCAGACUCCUACGGGAGGCAGCAGUAGGGAAUCUUCCGCAAUGGGCGAAAGCCUGACGGAGCAACGCCGCGUGAGUGAUGAAGGUCUUCGGAUCGUAAAACUCUGUUAUUAGGGAAGAACAAAUGUGUAAGUAACUAUGCACGUCUUGACGGUACCUAAUCAGAAAGCCACGGCUAACUACGU